rnacentral:lncRNA from 1 species
CUGUACGAAAAGGAUGGUGUAAGAAUACGCUCUAGUGCUUCUCUCAUCAACAGCUGUAUAAAUAUCUAAAGUCACCUACAAGUCGGAACCACCUAUAAUGGUCUGUAUGACAUGUCGGAACCACCUCUCAUGGUCUGUACGACAUGCACUUACUUGGAUCCAAGGUGAGCGUGUGGUGCGGGGUAAAUAAUAUAAGCACUAACACCAAGGGUGCAGGUUAUGAGCUCUCAACACAAUUCACAUCAUCAAUAAAUCAUAUGAACAAUAUAAACUCACCUGAUACUCACCUGUGCGUCCACAGCACCAUUUAACAUAUAUACAUCAAAUACUAAUUCACAUAUUUCAUAUAAUAUGCAUGCAUGGCAUACUUUCUGGUUUUGAUAAAGAUUUGUGAAUUGAGCUAUUUGAAGAUUUAUAUGCAUAUUAUAUACUAUUGUUCUGGAAAAGUAUACAGGUUUUACAGCGAGGGGUUAGAAAUGUUAUUAAAUGAAAUAUUUUCGAAAAACUUUGUUUUACUGACCCACUCAAUCUUGUUUUUUCGCCCCUUCAGGUUCUAGUUAGCAGUGUUGGUGGCUCACGAGGAUUCCCACGGUGUUCUGACAGAAUUCACAAAAGUAGGACUCACCCUCGGGUGUUACAUCUUAGUAAUUGUAUCUUUAAAGCUUCCGAACUAUGUAAAUGGUUACGUCACUCUCACGUGACGGCCAGCAUGCCCUCCUUCGGGAUGGGG